CUUGAUCCACUGAUUUAAGGCUAAGAUCAAAGUGUAGUAUCUGUUCUUAUCAGCUUAAUAUCUGAUACAAUCCCCAUGUGGGAUCUAUGAUAUUAAUCUGAUUUUUGGACUAUGGCGAAGUGCUAGGGGCUUGCUCCACCUUGCUUGGUCACACUCCUUAAGGAACAACCAGGGAAACCAAAACAUUUUUU